rnacentral:tmRNA from 1 species
GGGGUCGUUAUGGAUUCGACGGGUAUAGUUCGAAUUCGAAUGGCGUUACGUAGCGGCGUCUACGCAAAACCGUCCAGUUUUAAAUUAUAACUGCAAACAAUAAUUCAAACUUAGCUGCAGUUGCUUAAUAAGUAACUUUGUAGCAAUCCGAUUUAGCUUUGCCUAUGGGUUAACAUUGGGUUUUAUAUGAAAUAGGUUACGCUAUUCAACUCCCACCUGAAGUUGAUAGAAGAGAUUAAUCAGGUUAGCUAAUCAUGAUAGCCUUGGUGUAUGGCGUUUUGAUUAGUGAAAUUUAAAUAAUACUCCUAUGAGCGUAGAAAUUCGAAUGGCGAUAUGCUCGGACGCGGGUUCAAAUCCCGCCGACUCCAUUA